ACACAGAUUCUUUCUCCACCACAUGGCUGCUGCUGGGGGAUGGGGCAGGCGUGGUGUGGGCAAUUCAAGACUAUCUUUUCUAUCCUCUUCGGCACCUCUUUCAGUGAUAUGAAGUUAAAACCAGGGAGAAUGAUUGGUGAAGGCUUCUAUUUGGUCAACUUGCUCUGUCUUUAUAGCCAAUUUAUAUUGAUAAGAGUUUCUCUCUAGAUACCAUUUGCGGUAUUCCUGAGUCAGAAGAGAGGAAAGGUGAUACUGCCACCCCCUGUAUGUAUUUCCUUUUAGAUGUGGGAUGUGGUAGGCAGCAUGUUCCCUCCCCAGACUUCUCUCCGAGAGCUGUCUAUGCCCUAAUCCCUGCAACCUGUGAAUAUGUUAUGUUAGUUGGCAAAGGGGACUUUGCAGAUGUAAUUAAAGUUACUGACCAUAUAAUGAGGAGAUUAUUCUGGAUUAUCCAAGUAGGCCCAAUCUAAUUACAUAAAGCCUUCAAAGCAGAGAGCUUUCUCCAACUGGAGGCAGAAGAGAUGCAGCAGCAGCAGCAGCAGCGAGAACAAUUCAAAGUACAGGGACUCAAUGGGAACUUUCUGGUUUGAUGUUGGAGGGAGCAGCAUGAUGAGGAAUUUGCACAGCCUUAAGAGGCUGAGGGAGGCUCCUGGCUAACAGCUAGCCAGGAAAUAUGAUCCUUAGCCUUGCAGUCAUGAAAACUGAAUUCUUCCAACAACUUGAAUGAGUUAUCCCUCAGAGCCUUCAGAUAAGAGUCCAGUUUGCCAGCAAUUUGAUUUCAGUCUGUGAAACCUGGACCAGAGGAACCAGCUGAAUUCACCAGACUUCUGACCCACAGAACUAUGAGAUAAUACAUUGAAUACAUUGAAGUUGUUUAAAGGAGCUCAAUUUGCAGUAAUUUGUUAUGGCAACAAUAGAAAACUGACAUAUGGAGGUAUUGAUAUAGUCAUGAUUUUGAUGACUAACUAGUUUGUGAUCUGGAUAUGAAGUGUCACCAUGCUACAGUGCCUGAGUCUGCUUCAGAUUCUUCUACUUCUUGGCCAUCUUUAUUGGGAAAAUAAGUAUGUGAAAUAAGUAUAGUCUAUUGCCCUUUUUGAGUACCACUGGUUAAUUAAUUUUGUUAUUUUCAAGUGUAUGUGCUUUAAUUCACAUGGCAUUAAAAGAAUCGGUAGUAUAGUUUCACUCAGCCAGAUGAAUCCAGAAAUCUCUUGCUCAUUGAAUCUUCAGAAAUGAGAGUGAGAGCAUUCCAUGAAUCUAGAAUCAAAACACAUUAGUACAAAUAAAGAUCACUAAAAAUAAA
rnacentral:lncRNA from 1 species